CCUACGGGAGGCAGCAGUGGGGAAUAUUGGGCAAUGGAGGAAACUCUGACCCAGCAACGCCGCGUGAAUGAUGAAGGUCUUCGGAUUGUAAAGUUCUUUUCUAAGGGAAGAAGAAAGUGACGGUACCUUAGGAAUAAGCCUCGGCUAACUACGUGCCAGCAGCCGCGGUAAUACGUAGGAGGCGAGCGUUAUCCGGAAUGACUGGGCGUAAAGGGUGCGUAGGUGGUUUGGCAAGUUAGUAGCGUAACUCCAAGGCUCAACCUUGGAACUACUACUAAAACUGUUGGACUUGAGUGCAGGAGGGGCAACCGGAAUUCCUAGUGUAGCGGUGGAAUGCGUAGAUAUUAGGAGGAACACCAGUGGCGAAGGCGACUAUCUGGCACAUAACUGACGCUGAGGAGCGAAAGCGUGGGUAGCAAACAGGAUUAGAUACCCGUGUAGUC
rnacentral:rRNA from 1 species